UUGCUUUAGGCAGCAUAUACACUAAAGUUGGAAUAAUUCAGAGAAAAUUAGCAUGAACUCUGGGGGACAGGAUUCUGAAUAUAUCAUUGAAAUUGAAACAUAUUUU